UGUACAUUGACAGUGAACAUUUGUCCUAUAGGGUUACGUUGCAGCCCAGUUCACAGCUGCUGGUUCCAGUGUUCUCACUCAAUACUGGACCAAUUCCAAAUAUUCUUGUUCACAUUAGUCACUUAGACACACAUUCAAUGGGCAAAUAGGGUCAUGGUUGAAUCAUACACAAAACUAAAACAACAUUACCCUUUAA